rnacentral:tRNA from 1 species
UACGCCGUGGUCCACGAGGACUCCGUCGUUAAGAUCGACGACAGCGUGCCCUUCGAGUCGGCCGCUCUGCUCGGCUGCGCCGUGCCCA